AUGAAGGGCUCCCACUCGCAGUCCCAGGCGGCAAGCCGUCGGCGGCGCUGUGGGUGGCUGCUCCCGCUUCUCGUUGGUGCUGCUUUUGUCGGCGAGAUCGCGUUCCUCGGUCGCCUCGACAUGUCGAAGAACGUUGCGGCGGUCGAGAGCUGGACCACCUCCUUCUACCGCCUCUCUUCGACCUGGGGCGCGGACGCACCUCCGGGUAGCGGGGACGACGGCGACGACUGCGAGGAGCGGCUCGAGAGGGAGGACGCCGUGCCCUACGACCGCGAUUUUGAAAGGGAUCCCGUACUUGUCGGCGGUGCUGCUAAGGAUUGGAAUAGAUGUUCUGUAGGAUGUGAAUUCGGGUUUCCAGCUAGUAAGACACCUGAUGCUACUUUCGGAAUCGCUCCAGAUCCUUCCGUAGAGAGUAUCCUCAGAUCAAUGGAAUCGUCUCAAUAUUAUUCCGAGAACAAUAUUAAUGCGGCUCGAGGAAGAGGGUACCAAAUUGUGAUGACAACCAGCCUUUCCUCAGAUGUGCCGGUUGGCUACUUUUCAUGGGCUGAAUAUGAUAUCAUGGCACCUGUGCCUCCAAAGACUGAAGAAGCCCUAGCUGCAGCCUUUAUUUCCAACUGCGGUGCACGCAACUUCCGUUUGCAAGCCCUUGAGAUGCUUGAAAGCUUAGAUGUAAAAAUUGAUUCUUAUGGUAGCUGUCAUCGUAAUCGUGAUGGCAAAGUGGACAAAGUGGAGACUCUAAAGCGCUACAAAUUCAGCUUGGCUUUUGAGAAUUCUAAUGAGGAAGAUUAUGUUACAGAAAAGUUUUUUCAGUCACUGGUAACAGGGGCCAUUCCAGUUGUCGUUGGCGCACCGAAUAUUCAAGAGUUUUCUCCAGGAGAAGGUGCAAUAUUACAUAUUAAGGAGCUUGAUGAUGUCAUUUCAGUUGCUAAGACAAUGAAACAUAUUGCAUCAAAUCCUGAUGCUUUUAAUCAAUCUUUGAGGUGGAAGUAUGAUGGUCCAUCUGAUUCUUUCAAGGCACUUAUUGACAUGGCAGCGGUUCAUUCAUCCUGUCGCCUUUGCAUACAUAUCGCUACGAAGAUUCAUGAAAAAGAAGAAAAAACACCAAAGUUUAUGAAUCGCUCAUGUAGUUGUUCCAGCAAAAGAGGAACAGUAUACCACUUAUUUGUCAGAGAGAGAGGGCGGUUUAAGACAGAGAGCAUUUAUCUAAGAUCAGAUCAGUUAACUUUAGGAGCUUUGGAGUCUGCCGUGCAUGGUAAAUUUAGAUCCCUCAAACAUGUUCCUGUAUGGAAGGAUGAAAGGCCAUCAGGUAUUCGAGGCGGGGAUGAGUUGAAGGUGUACAAAAUUUACCCAAUAGGUCUUACAGAAAGACAAGCGUUAUAUAAAUUUCAAUUCAAUGAUGAUGCUGAAGUUGCUAGAUACAUUAAGGGCCAUCCAUGUGCAAAGCUUGAGGUGAUUUUUGUAUAA
rnacentral:rRNA from 1 species